rnacentral:rRNA from 1 species
UACAGGGGGGGCAAGCGUUGUUCGGAAUUACUGGGCGUAAAGGGCUCGUAGGCGGCCAACUAAGUCACACGUGAAAUCCCCAGGCUUAACCUGGGAACUGCGUGUGAUACUGGAUGGCUUGAAUUCGGGAGAGGGAUGCAGAAUUCCAGGUGUAGCGGUGAAAUGCGUAGAUAUGCGGAGGAACACCGAUGGCGAAGGCAAUCCCCUGGACCUGUACUGACGCUCAUGCACGAAAGCGUGGGGAGCAAACAGG